AACGAACGCUGGCGGCAGGCUUAACACAUGCAAGUCGAACGGGUGUAGCAAUACAUCAGUGGCAGACGGGUGAGUAACACGUGGGAACCUUCCUAGGGGUACGGAACAACUCAGGGAAACUUGAGCUAAUACCGUAUACGUCCGUGAGGAGAAAGAUUUAUCGCCCUUAGACGGGCCCGCGUCGGAUUAGCUAGUUGGUGGGGUAACGGCCUACCAAGGCGACGAUCCGUAGCUGAUCUUAGAGGAUGAUCAGCCACACUGGGACUGAGACACGGCCCAGACUCCUACGGGAGGCAGCAGUGGGGAAUCUUGGACAAUGGGCGCAAGCCUGAUCCAGCCAUGCCGCGUGAGUGAAGAAGGUCUUCGGAUUGUAAAGCUCUUUUACCAGGGACGAUAAUGACGGUACCUGGAGAAUAAGCCCCGGCAAACUUCGUGCCAGCAGCCGCCGUAACAC
rnacentral:rRNA from 1 species